rnacentral:rRNA from 1 species
CCAACCUGCCCUUGACUGGGGGAUAGCCCGCCGAAAGGCGGAUUAAUACCGCAUAAAACGAUAGAGUGGCAUCACUUCUUCGUUAAAGAUUUAUCGGUCAAGGAUGGGGUUGCGUGCCAUUAGCUAGUUGGGGGGGUAACGGCCCACCAAGGCGACGAUGGCUAGGGGAGCUGAGAGGCUGGUCC